AUAUAUAUAUAUAGUAGGUCUUGUGUGCUAUUAGGAGCACGGAGGCCUCCGUGCUCCUAAGCCGUUUUCGAUGGUGGAGCUUUCGAAUCGACAAUCGGCUCCGUUAGACUUGAUCUAGUAUAUUUGAAGUAUCUAGAAAAUAAAUUGUGUGACUUUUCGAUAUCAUUUACCUAACGAUCAAAAUGGUUCAAAAUCAAUGGCAGAAAAUAAAAAUUUCAUAAAAAGUAGUAAUAUAGCAUUAAAAUUUUCAAUCAAACAUAUUGAUCUUGCUGUAAAUAGUAUAAAAAAUUUUCUAUCAAAAUUUCAUCUGAUUUGAAUACUUCUACACCGUUAAACUUGCAAACGGUAUACAUCAACCAUUAAAAAUUGUUGAUUUUGAACCAUUUUUAUUACUAGGAAAAUGAUACUGAAAAAUUACAAAAAAUAUUUUCUAGAUAGUUCAAAUACGCUAGAUCAAGCUUAACGGAGCCGAUCAUCGAUUCGGAAGCUCUAUCAUCAAAAACGGCUUAGGAGCACGAAGGUCUCCGUGCUCCUAAUAGCACACAAGACCUACUAUAUAUAUAUAUAUAGAACUAGGCUGAAAUACUAUCAAUAGCACCAAGGGCUUGGUGCUAUUAGUUUUUUAGCCCUUUGAUUGAGAAAUGUGUGGUUAUGAUGAUGUGGAUCCCCUAGGGUUGAGUGGGUGGUUGGUUGAAUAGUAUAAUCUAACAGAUAAAAAUAAUCAAAGAGUUAAAUCUAACGGUAGAAAACUCGAUAGCACCAUAUCCUUGGUGCUAUGACAGUAUCCCAGUCGGACUAUAUAUAUAUAGAGCUAGGCUGAUAUACUAUCGGUAACACGGAGACCACUGUGCUACCAAGUUGUUUUCAAUUGUGCGGCUUCCAAAUCGACGAUUGACUCUGUUAGACUUGAGCUACACUAUUGGAAGUAUUUGGAAACUAAAUUUCAUAAUUUUUCGACAUUAUUUACCUAUCAAACGAGUAGUCUAAAAAUGAACGGCUGAAAAUAAAAAUCUCAUAAAAAUUGAUGAUAAAAGAGUUGAAUUUAAGAUAAAAAAUACUAAUCUUACUCUAAAUAGUGAAAAAAAUUUCUAUAAAAAUUUUAUCAAAUUUAGAUUAUUUUACACCGUUAAAUUUACAAAUGUAUCACUUCUACCAUUAAAAUUGUUAAAUUUAAGAUAUUUUGAUCACUGGCCAAAUGACGUCGAAAAAUUACAUCGUCUAAUUAGUGAAUUCGAAAUUUGAGAUAAAAUUAGAUCAAAUUUUGAGUUCUAAGGAAGGCGUAGCUAUCACAUCCUAAAAGAUCUGGGAUGUGACACAUGACACAUAUGAAUUGGAAGCUCACCUUUGAAAAGUCCAAUAUGGACCAUAUGGUGACAUAGAGCAUUUUAUGUGAAUAGUUAUUAUAAUCCACGACAAAAAUAAUUUAAUUCAUAAAUAAAAUAAAAAUAAUAAUUUAAAAAAAUAUCAUAUCAGCUAUGUAAAAAAUUGUAAAAGUUUGUACAUUGGCAAAAAGCAUCCUAGUUGAAGAAAUUACCAUCGCAAGUAUAAAUUAGGCAAUCUUAUGAGUUAGCAUUAAUUAUUUGCCAACAUUUUUGUUCUCAAAGCUCUUUUACAAAUUAAUCCAAAAUUUGCCAUUGCCCUUUUUUUUAUUUUUUAUUUUUUAAAACGGAGAGCAUUUUCUCUGUUGACAUACGACCUCAAUCAACCAUUAUUUUUCGUUGAUCCUUUGGCUUCGGAGAGCAUUGAUGGAAGUGACACGUGAGAUCAGUACAAGGUGUUAUUCUUAUUGCGUAUUUUGAGUAUCUCUCUCUCUAAAGUACCGUUUGGUUCAGAAAUAAAUCAAAAAUAGCUAUUUAAGGAAUAAAUAUAAAUUGAGAUAUAAAUCUUAGUUAGUAAAUUCACGAAUUUUUGCCGAAUUAUUAGCAAAUUUUUGAAAAGACGAAUUAAACGGGCGUUUUCAUAUUUUUCCAAAAAAUUCAGAAAAAAACGCAAUUUUUUGGACAAAAAUACUUAUUCGCGAAUUAUUCGGGAUUCGCGAAUUAUUCAUUCAUAAAAAGGCCCGUGGGCCCGCUCUCGCAGCAAGAACGCGCUCGCGCGCGCUCGCGCGUGCGCCCGCGCUCGCUCCUGCGCGCGCUGGCUCGCGAGCCACGGGGCUCGUGGGCCUUGUGGGUCUUGUGGGCCUCGUGGCUCGCCCCAAACAGAUUAAAUAUAUAUAUAUAUAUACUAUAAUAUAUUUAUAUAUAUACACGUCGGCCCAAAAGAAAACAAAAAAAAUUUCUUUCCGGAAACUUUGCCCUCCUCUUCCCUUAAAAAAAAACAAAAAAAAAAAAAAGAAAAAUCAGUCGAUAAAAAAAAGUUUUAAGUCUCUUUAUAAACUAUCUUAAUCAUCUAGUUUUUACUUAAUUAUUUAUUUAUUUUGAAGGGUUAAUAUCAGUUGCUUUUUUUUCUUUUUAUUAAUUAGCUUAAUUUCUUUAGCUCUUUAAUUCUUAUAUUCCUAAGAAUAUAGUAUUUAUGCUAAUAACACUUAAAAAUCUGCAGAGGCGAAAAAACUGUAAUUUAAUAUGGACCCGAACCUUUUAAUUAUCCCAAAUUUUUAAUUGUUAUGACGAUAUAAUAUCGAUAUAAAUACGUUCGAAUAUUGGACGAAUUAUUUUUUAGCCGUCAAUUUUAACGAAUUUAAAAAUUAGAAGACGAAUUUUAUCCGAAUUAUAUCGUUACCGAAUCUUUCUGCGACAUCCCGAUUAACUAACGUAGAUAAACCGGAGAUUAAAUUAAGUUUUUACGUUUGGGGACUAAUGAAAAUUACGGUACUAUUCCCUGAAAGGUUAAAAAAAAUAGGUUUGGUUUCGUACGAUGGCAAUAAGAAUUAAAAAGUGGGGCGUAGUAUAUAAAUAAAUAAUGAUAUUUAUCCUUCUCAUUUAAUUAUUGGAAUUUGAAUUUUUAAACUAUUUACUUAUAUUUUUAAAAUUUAGAAUUUAAACUUUUAAAUUUCCAAAUUUUGAAUGUAAAUUUAAAAUUAAAAUCUCAAAAUUAAAUUUUAAAUUUUAAAUUUUAAAUUUUUAUUUUUAAAUAUCAUACUUUAACAUUUUUAAGGAUUCAAUAUUUAAUUUUGAAAAUAUGAAAUAUAUAAUAUUUAAAAAUUUCAAAAUUUAAAAUAGUCAAAUUUUACACACUCUUUAACAUUCUUACACAUUUUUAAACUACUUUUCCGCAACAACAAUCCCCCACACAGAAUACGCGUCACCCGGGCACACAAUUAAAUACCAACAAAAUACAUUCUACUCUCUACAUAAAUUAUAUACAAACUAAUUUCGCAUAACAAUAAACUGUCUAUUCUCUUAAAAAUCUUCCAUACUAAUUUUUAUAAUUAUUAAUAAAUUAAUAAUUUUUUUAAAAUUCUACUUAAACAUUAAAUUUAAUAAAAAUAAUAUUAUCCUAUAAUAAUUAUACAUAUAAUUUAUUUUAAUAUUUUUAAUAUCCUUAAAUAUAACAUAAUCAUAUAUUAAUAUAGUUACAAUUAAUAAUUUCUUAAAAUAAGAAAUUAAUAUAGUUAUAAUAAUCAUAACAUUAUAUUUAUAAUAACUUUAAGUUUAUAAUUUAAUUUUAUAAUUUUAAAUAAAAAGCUUUGAAACUCAAAUAUUGGCAAUAAUACUAAUUCAUCAACUGGAUUAAAUACGUAAUUCCCAUUGCUAAUUACCUUGAUAGGCGGAAUAGCAAGAUUUAAUCCAGGGAUCAAAAAUAUUCCGGCCAAAAAUUAUUUAGGUUGUGGCGAAAUUCAUAGAGGGAUAACUUUGCGUUUAUCCCCGCUAUACCGCACAACCAACACGAGGAGCUAUAAUUUGUCAUGAAAUGACAUUGCAUAUUCAUGUAUUUAUAGCAUUACAUUCUCUUCUACCUGUAUAAUUACACCUAUUCUUCUAUUCUACUAUACCUAUAUAUAUACCUACUAUAAUAUAAUAUAGAGACCACCCGAGAGAACGACGGACUCCCAAAACCCCCAACCUGAGCCGAGAACCGAGAGACCAGAACCCCGGAAGAGAGAGAUUAUGUACUAUAUAUCAAUAGACUAUCGGCUGGAAACUAGCUUGUGGUGCUAUUGUACUAUAAUUUGCUAAUUACAAACUGCUGGAGACAUCAGAUAGCCAAAUUCAGAAGGGCUUCGUGCUAUUCAGUUUUUAGCCCUUAUAUGGGAGAAAUGUGCAGUUAGGAUGAUGUGGGUCCCUGGGUUGAGGUGGUGGUUGGUUGAAUAAGUAUACAUCUACACGGGAUAAAAAUAAUCAAGGAGUACUAUCUAACGGUGGAAAAACGCAAUAGCACCAAAUCUAUCUUAGGUGCAUAUCGACAUAUCCCAGGCGAUAUAUAUAAUAUAUUAUAUAGCUAUAUAGUAUUAUAUAAUAUAUAGAUUAUAUAUAUAGAAGUAGAGCUAAGAAGUACUUGAUGAAAAGUAUCCACCAAGUCGAUAACUUAUGUGUUUUAUAGCCUUGCGAUGAGAGAUGGUGAGGUGAAUGAUGGUGGUAGGUGGCGGUAGGUGGAACGGCAAUGUUGGUGAAUAGUGUAUUCACCAAGAUAUUAGUAAUCAAAGUAGAUCCAAGUAUAUAUUAUAUUAUAUAUAUAUAUAAUUAUUAUAUAAGAGAGAGAGAGAGAGAGAGAGAGAGCUAGGCUGAUAUACUAUCGGUAGCACAGUGACCUCCGUGCUACCAAGUUGUUUUUAAUUAUGCAGCUUCCAAAUCGACGAUCGACUCUGUUAGACUUGAUCUAUACUAUUGAAAGUUUUUGAAAACUAAAUUUCAUAAUUUUUCGGCAUUAUUUACCUAUCAAAUGAGUAGUCUAAAAAUGAACAGCUGAAAAUAAAAAUCUCAUAAAAAUUGAUGAUAAAAGAGUUGAAUUUAAGAUCAGAAAUACUAAUCUUACUCUAAAUAGUGAACAAAAAAGUUUUAUAAAAAUUUUAUCAAAUUUGAAUUGUUUCACAAAUGCAUCACUUCUAUCAUUAAAAUUGUUAAAUUUGAAACAUUUUAAUCACUGGCCAAAUAAUGUGGAAAAAUUACAUCGUCUAAUUAAUGAAUUCGAAAUUUGAGAUUAAAUUAGAUCAAAUUUUGAGUUCUGAGGAAGGCGUAGCUAUCACAUCCUAAAAGAUCUGGGAUGUGACACAUGACACAUAUGAAUUGGAAGCUCACCUUGGAAAAGUCCAAUAUGGACCAUAUGGUGACAGAGAACAUUUUAUGUGAAUAGUUAUUAUAAUCCACCACAAAAAUAAUUUAAUUCAUAAAUAAAAAUAAUAAUAAUAAUAAUUAAAAAAAAAAUCAUAUCAGCUAUGUAAAAAAUUGUAGAAGCUUGUACAUUGGCAAAGCAUCCUAGUUGAAGAAAUUACCAUCUAACAUUUAUCUUUAGACUAUUACCAUAGUAAGAUCAAUGUCAAACAUGCAUAACUUCCAUUAACAUCAAAAAUUUCUAUUACAAGUGCAGAUUUUUUCACUAACUUGUAUUUCAGAAAACUUUCUACUCCCUCCAAGGCACAAGAAACUGCACAUCACACAGAAUAUAGGGUAAAUUUUCUCUAGAAUUAUAUCUAUGUUGCCAUGCAAAUUAUAUAUCCCUCGAGAAACUUUAGAAAAAGGCAAUAUCAUAUCUUUUCCAAGCUCUUGAAUAUCAACAUUGAGGUAAACAAACCAUUUACCAUACACAGGUGCAUGGCAUAAUAUUAAACUGGAAAUUAAUACAACCCUGAUGAAGGAUCUACUUCAGAUUAUAUAUGGGGCCAAAGAAGAUUUUUCAAGAUCCGACACGAUUCCUUGUGGCUUGAAUUACAAUAUCUCCGUUUGCAUAGUGCUCUCUGCAGACCGGCAUGUAGACAUCGGCGCCUCCGAUGAGUUCGGUUUGCGUCUCCUUCGUCUUCCUCAAGGUAAAGAAAGCGCGGCGACCGCAUAGUUGACAACAUGCCGUGAGCUUCGUGACGGUAUCAGCUAAGGGAAUGAUGUCGAGAACUGAGCCAAAUUUUUUUCUGCAACAGAGAUUCUAUCAACGUUAUAUUCUAAAAACUUAAGCCGUUAGAGAACGGUAUUUAUAUAUAUUUUUAUAUUUAACAUGAAGGGUAAUAAUGUAGAGCAGUCAUCAUAAUGGUAACAUAUAUACUACAGGCCAUUUCGAAAUGUAACCCCUCAAAUUUGUUUCUAUGCACAAGCCAACUAGUUAGUCUUUCAUCCCCAGAUGAAAAAGAAGAACAACAUAUUAGCUUAAAAGAAUAGGUGCAGUAAGAGGAUGGCCGUCAUAUCAGUUUUCAGUAUUUGCUAAAGAGAGUUAGUAUGUCACUAUCGGGAGGCAUUUACUUCAAAUAAAGACGGGGACCAUGAAUUGUCCAGAAAUUUACCUUAAGUAGUCGCCAUCGAGGCCAGCCACGAUAACUAUCUUCCCGUCAUGAUCAGCUGCGCUGCAGCAGAAUUCAUACAGAUCUUCGAAGAAUUGGGCUUCGUCAAUCCCUAUAACAUCCAGCUGCAAAAUCAUGUUGUUAGCAGAAAAAAUGCAAAAGAAUAAAACUAAAAGAAAUGGAAACCGGAUAUUUAUGGUGAUCAACCUAUGACUAGUGAUGUACUCGGAGAACUUUUGAGAGGAGAUGAAGAACCGUUUUUGCUCGUCGAUUUUAAAAGUUUAGAACAAAUUAAGAGCAUAAUAAAAGAAAUUUGACUAAACAUUCCUAGGAGUUCACACUAGAUUAAUAGACUAAUUAGUAUCAGAAGAUUAUUUAGAGAGGUCAAAUAUCACAACAACAGAUAAUCAACAUCAAAAAACAGUUAAAGAGCACCUUUCCUGCAGCUAACAAUAGGAGGUUGGGCUGAUCCAAUGCGCGAAAGCGUAAAAUGUAGCUAUAAGUACAAGCUGGCUUUAUGAUGCUUUGCACAUUGUAAUCAAGUUUCUCAAGAAAUACUGAGUUGUUAAGGCAGCUUCUUUGAACAUUCAAAAAUAGAUAUAAAUGUUCUAAAGACAUCAUAGUAAAGCAAAUGACAAAUAAGAAGAGUUUACCUCUGUUGGGAAUUCAAAUGUGAAUAAUCACAUGUUGGACAAUUAAUACGAGAGGAAAUGAUUGAUGUUAUUAAUGGGCCCAGAUCUAAUGGGCUUAAACUUUUGGGUUGGGUGAGUUAUGUCAGAUAUGUCAUAUCCGACUUAUGAUACUUAAGAACUUUUUAUUUGAAAUCAACAUGAUUUUAAGAUCUGCAUAAUCAGCGAAUACCCCAAUAGCCCAAUGUGGAGUAGGUGGAACUAGACACAAAUGAGGUAGCUAGUCAAAGGACCUAAUCCAAAGUUUUAACUUACAAUUUUCUACUCGACACCUUUCUGGGAUCAUAAGGCUUGGCUAAUGGCAUGCUGAACCCUACAGUGAUAUCACGGUCCGAUAACGAACCCCUAUACCCGGAACGAGGCAAGCUCGAUACUUGUUAUACACUCAUGGUUGUCUAGUAGCCAAGGUGAUCCUGCAAAAUGAACCUUCCUAUAUCCUAGGCUAUUGGAAUGCUGUUAGACAGUCACCUCGCAACAAACAUUUAUACAAAUGAUUUCUAUUUACUCAACCAAUUAAAUAAUGUGAACUUGAAGUCGAGCAAACAUGCAUUUUCGGUAUAACCAUAUAGAUAUCAAGAUAUGGUUGAAAUUCUUUUGACAACAUAAUAGUAACACAAUCAACUGACAAUAGUCUCAGGUAUAACCAGAACUAAAUUUUAACUCUUCAUCACUUGCAAGAAUCGAUGAAAUAUCAUUAAAAUUCUAAAUAUCGAAGUUACUACUUAAUAAACAGACAGAAAGCGUAUAGACCUUACCUAUCUACUUGAAAGUUUAAAGGCAAAUUAUAUAAAUUCUUUUUUUUUCUUUGUUAGGUGGUCCAAAUGCCUAAUAAUAUAGGCUUGCACCUCUCAAAGCUGUCGGUGAGCAUUACCUGGAGUGGAUGGGUUGGUCUAACUGCCUAGGCGGUCGCUUCUGAAUUAUCAAGGCUGUUUUCUGUGUCAGCUAUGCCUACGAUCAUAUCUUAACCAGCAAAAUGUGGAGAUCUGAAAACAGUGAUGUUCACUCGACCGAUUGACAAGUAAUCAAUCAAUGCUAUCUGAUGGUCUACUAUAAUUGUUAAAAUCGGAACGGCGAAAAAUAGAUCCAGAAAAUAAUUUAAUGCAAGAAAAGAAAAGAUAAGGAAAGAACACACCGAUAUUUACGUGGUUCGGCCAACGGCCUACGUCCACGGACAAAGACGAAGCAAAUAAUUUAUUAAUGUCGAAAAGGCGAAGUACAAGAAAACCUCUCAAAGACCAAAAAAACUUAAUUAGAUCGAAACGCCGCAACAACGCAACUCCAAAUAACCGGCUGGCUCCUUCACCCGUACGGAAUACCAAGAUGCUUCUUAAUUAAAUAGCUUGGAUCUUCAUAGAAACAAUGCACAGCUUCUCUUCUUUGGCUUAAAGCUGCUCAUUCAUCCUCAACCGUACGGACCAUCAACACUUUAAUUAGUGCAUGGCUUAAUUAGAGCCACCAGACCACCAACCCGAAGAAGCAUGUACGGCUUGGACUUAAUUAGGCGUGCCUUCUUAAUUAGAGAUCCGGCUUCUCCGUCCGACUACCAACAUGCUCUUAAUUAAUUUGCAUGGCUUCUUAAUUUUUGGUCGCGGCUUCAUUAAUUUGGCCAUAGCAUGUAUUUAUAAUACAUGUCUCCUAAAUAGAGUCUAAUCCUAAUNAUUUAUAAUACAUGUCUCCUAAAUUAUAUCCAAUCCCAAUUAGAUUAGGAUUUAACUCCAAUUAAGAUAACUAUAAAUCUAAACCAAAUAUAACAAUAAUUAUAGAAUCCUGAAUCGAUUAGUUUCUGCUUAUAAACUCUCCAAUCCAAGUAAAACUAUGUGGUAGUUUACUCUUGCAUCAGUAUUGAAUGAAGGUUGAAACCAGAAUUGAAUCUGCACAAGACCCAUAUAAGUUUAUCUCUUUCCUGGAAGAUUCUAUUCCUCCGAAGAUUCAGAGAUUAGGAUGAGUCCUUCCCCCCACAAGUAAAAUGCUUCUUAGAUCCGGCAAGUAGAGAUAGCAGGAAAUACCAUAUCAUUUAGGUAAAGAUAAUAUGGUUUACCAUCUUCUCACAACUGUGUCCAUUGUCCGUACUAAUCCGCAGUAAGAAAUGAUAAUAAAGCAACCAUACAAAGAAAAGACACAAAAUCACCAAUAAUGCAAGUUCUACAGAGAUAUCAAGAGAAUAUGCAUGUACACAAACUAAUACAGUAUAUUACAGUAUAUAAGUUAAUUGAGAAUUGUUCAAUAUUAUUAAGGCAGCAAAGCUUGAACUAUGACGCAAUUACUAGACAUGGAAUGAGAUCGCUAACUUACAACAUACCUUACCAUAGGCCUCAGCUCCAAGUUUAUCCCGAAACAUUGAAAGCUCGGCCAGAGCCCAGCACGGCAUCUUUGCCCCGUCAUGUGUCACUGCACAGUUCAAUCCAUACCUCAUAUCCUUGCUAGAUUUUAUAAUCACUGCAGUUCUGCUUGCAAAAAAGCAGUUAAAGUAGCAAGACAACCCACAGUCAUAACUGAUUCAAGUCGAGAUUUACUAUUGCAAGUACAUGACACUAUAGGAGUAUUUUUUGUAUUAAAAUCACAGAAACAAACUACCUUUUUUUCAUUUAUCCAGUAAUUAUAGUAUGACGUGGAAGGUGCCGAUAACUUUCUUUUUUCCUUCGCAAUUUAGCCCAUGACGCUUAAUUCGGUGCAAAUCUUGCUAAUAACCGAUUUCUAGCUUGUUUGAUCUGGUGUAAAAAAUUAAAUUCGGCCUGAAAAUUUUGAUAUGGUAGAGAAAAGUCACCGCAAAUUUAAACAUUCGGCAAACUUUCUGCACCAAAUCGAUCAUUACAGGCCAAACUACGACGACAGCUGCUCCUCUACAAGAGGCACUUCAGUAGAUCCUUAAAUGGGUAGUAAAUUUAUGGUCUGCUCGUUUCUUCAACUAAGCUCUCUCUCUCUCUCUUGUUAGGUGUGUGCAUUUUGAUCACAUCGAUUUGUAUCUUAUUCUUUAUUCAGGAUAGGGGAGACAUGUUUGCUUGAAUUGUUGCCUGAGGUGCUUGCGGCAUCUCUAUUAUGCUUCUCUUUGUAAGUUUUUUCUCUUUCACUAAAAAUGCUAAGGGAAUCAUCCUAUGUUUUAAUUUCAAAAAGAAAAAGAACAAUGAUAGCGAGUUUCUAACAUCAAACUAAAGUGAGUGGAAUUUUCUCAAUUAUGAAAAAAAAAGAGUUUGGGAGUUUAUCUAAUUUUAAACACAACUUUUUUCUACAAAAUUCCAAAAAAAGGCAGCAAAGUUCCGCUUAUUCAUUAUACAAGAAUCCACUAAUAAAGAAUAUCCCAUAACAGGGAACAGAGCAAGAAAAACUAACAGACUCUCUACAGGCUAUUUUGAAUUAGACCCUUCGACUUUAUUCUUUUUGAUUGACACCGAUUUCAACUUUUAUUUUCUUUCAUUCGAGCGAUUCCAAUAAACCAAAUUAGAUUCUGUUAAUAAAUUGACGGCUAACAAUUGAUGGAACUAUUAAAUUUACCGAAACCUCCGACUUAACUAACUAAAAUAGUUCCAAUAAAAGAAAUUUGAGGAGUACUCUAUUUCAAAGAGUAAUGCUAUUAUAUGAAAAGCGCAAACUCUUUGUGCUUGUUAGUGAUAAACCCUAAAGCCAAUCGGUGACAUAAGCUUGUGGAUAUAUUAAGUAUUUUUCUUAAUUAAUAAAGGGCAAGUUUUAUUCAUAUUUAUUGUUCGCAGUACAAUAUAUAUAUAUGAAUCGUCCGUUGAAUCUUCGUUAAGAAAAUAUAUUCCUAAGAGUUANCUUGAAUAGUGACCGCUCGUAUCUUGGUACACUGUCAAGUUGGUUUAUCAGUGCGAGUCACAUGAACAACAGGGAUGUGAUCACUGAACUCUAAGCAGUAUUGCUACAGUUGUGUGAAGUACUCCUUGGACCUAAGGCAUCAUAGUUGCUUCACGUAUAGGUUGCUACAGUUUAACAGUACUAAUACUUAGACUCUAGACACGGGUUUAUGUUCGGUACUGAUUGGCUAUAGUGAUUUAUAUGGGGAGGCAUGUGAGUGCGCAAUAAGGAAUUCAACACUCUCAAUAUUGAGAGAGAACGUCCUAUGUAGACUAUCAGACUCGAUUCGAAAAAUCCCUGGCCAGGGUAUGUGGUGUAUGGAAAGAGUUUCCAGAUGUGUUACCAUAUUGAAUCGGUUCUAGAUAUUCUAGUCAUAUGAUCGAAUAAUAAGAUUUGGCGAGUAACCAUAAUUUUGGUUCGAUCGGGACGUUGUGUGUUGAAAGGAAUUAAUCAUACGGUAACUGUAAGCGGAAAGGUUCAUUCUUCAUCACCAUUCUGGAUUGUCGUGAUAUACUGCUAGGUGUCACUCACGGACGGUGAGAGAAUAUGAAUGAUUAGAAUUUAAUUAUUCUUAUUUAUCGAUUAGAAGGGUUCUAAUUAAAUAUCAAAGAGUUUGAUAUUUAGCUCCACUGCCGAAUGGUAAUGAACCUAUGCGGUCACACACAAUAGGAAUUGUGUGCAUCCAACAGGACAAGAUGAGAAUAAUACACUAAACGGUUUAGUGAAAAUAGUGAGGAUUAUAAUUUGAAUGUUACGAAAGAUUUUAUCUCUAAUUAGAUUAGAGAAUAACUGAAUAUUCAUAAAUUAUUAUGAGAUAAUAUUCUAAUUAAAUUAGAUUUAAAUAUGAAUAUUUAGUUAUAAUAGAUAUGAUCUAAUUAAAGGGAGAGAUAAUAAAAUAUCCUAUGUUCCAACUAAUUGGAUGUAAUCCUUAGUUGGAUGUAAUCCAAUUAGUUGCAACAGAUAGUAUAGAAUUAUAACUAAUUGAAAAUUAUCAAAUUGGGAUUGUAACUAUUUGAAUAUAAUUAGUUACAACAAAUAUGGCUGGCCUAAGAUACGGCUCAAUUAAGAAGCCGUUUCGUACGGCUCUUUGUUGGUACUCCUUAAUUAAGCAGAGCUAUAUAUAUAUAGCUUAGCUGCGGCUUCAUUAAGGUGAUGAGAUAUCAUUAAUUGACGUGAAUAGGAUUCAAAUAUUCUUCUCUCUCAAACUUUCGUAAGUCCACAAUAAUUUUCACAAGAAGGAACGUAGACAUCGGAAGACUGCUAGCACCGUCUUCGUGAUCUGCGACUCAUCUGUUCCAUACGACGGAAGGCGUUGGAUCGGGAUCAAUUCCGUGUGGAUACGCGUAGAGGCCGGGCACGUGCGCGGCUAAUCGGAGGAUCAACUUCAACCGUACAGUAGAUCAAGAGACCUUAACUGGUCCAAGGUAAUGUAAUCUAAACUUCGGAUUUGUUUAGAUUAGAUUUUAUUUUACAUUGUAACAUGAGAAUGAUCCGCCGGCACUGGAUUGAUUUGUUUUGUUUUGUUUCAUAUGUGAUAUGGAUUUCGUUUUCGUUUUUCCGCUGCGAUUUUUUAAGUGCCGGAUAUAUUUUCUAACAGUGGUAUCAGAGACGAUUCUCAUGUUCUUUGUAAAAUACUAAUGAUCUGUAUGGUUUAAUUGAAAUUUUGGAACUUUUUCGAUUAGAUCGAAAUUAUUUUUCUUAAAUUGCACGUACUGCGAUUUAUUGUUUUAAUACAAUAAAAAAUAUAAAUACGUGGAGAUUUGAGAAAAAUAUAUUAUUGAGUUCCAAAACUUUUAAUCGAUGUUUAGAUCGAUUUGGUUAUUAUUAUCCGCAUAGUUGUUAAGAUGGGUGAUGAUCAUGGACCUUAGACAUCUGUGAUGUGAUUGUGGAUGUAUUUGUAAUUUGAUCAUAGGGUGUGUUUGUAAUUUAAUUGUGGAUGUAUAUAUUUUUUUUUUAUCACGAAGGGCCUGCGUGCCAAUUUAUUGGGAUCCGUGAAUCCUUGUAAUUUAAUUAGAGAAAAUUAGGAUUUUGGAGAAGGAUCCAUAUCGAGCGUUGAUGGANNNNNNNNNNNNNNNNNNNNNNNNNNNNNNNNNNNNNNNNNNNNNNNNNNNNNNNNNNNNNNNNNNNNNNNNNNNNNNNNNNNNNNNNNNNNNNNNNNNNGGGAUUGAUCGGGUGAGGGUUAGGGAGAAAAUUAAUUAAUUAGAUACUAAUUAAGUAACAAAAUGCCGCCGAAUCCCUCGAAGAUAGGAAUUUACGAAAAGGUCCAAACUUAAUAAGAAUAUGAGUCAAAUAAAGAAGUUUAAAAGUACGGGGUGUUACAUUCUCCCCUCCUAAAAAGAAGUUUAGUCCUCUAAACUUAACAUAUCUUAGCUCUCGAAGGACUAAGGAUGCAUCAUUCUCGUCUGCUCUUCGAGCUCCUAAGUAGCUUCCCGCUCAGAAUGGUUGCAUUACGGAACUACUAGCAUAAAUCAAGAUAUUGUCUACUCAGACAAUACUCCUACAAAUGCGAUCAAUCACAAGCUCAUCCCCGAAAGGCGCCCGACACAUAAAAAUAUAAACAAAGGGCUCGGAGGUUAACAAAUGAUUUCGAACAAAAGCAAAAGAGGUAAAGAAAUAAGUAGUUCUAGAAUCAAAGAGAACACGAGCAAAAACAGAAGCUAUGGAAAGAAUACCAGGGACUACAGCAUUAGAUGCCUGAACAUCCUGCUGGGAAAGAGCCUGAACAUGACCCUGCGUCCGAGGUCUUCCACCUCUGGACUGAUCGGUAGGAGGGAUAUGAUCACGACCGGCUGAAGUAGUAGAUUUCUCUUGAGGCUUAGAUCCAGUACUAGCAUCAAUGCUAAGCAGGGGACACUGAGCUAUCCGGUGGUUCAAAUCCCCACAUCUGAAACUGUAAGGGAAGUGAAUCCUCGAAAUCUGGGUAUUAGACUUCGAUUGAAUCGACUAUUUGUCGAGUGUGUAAGCUUCGGAAAGUCCGAAAGUGAUUAUAAUGCAUAAAGUGCAUUAAGGAAGGGUCCACGAGAGCACCAGUGCAAAAUCUGCACUGGAGCAGAAAUGCUCUCGGGGACCGGUCCCUGGCAGGGAGGGACCGGUCCCAUCGGGCUGGGCUGCGGGGGUCUUUGAUGAGACCGGUCCCUGGCAGCGCCUCAGACGACCGCAGCGCCUCAGACGAACCCUUCAGCUUUUGCUCCACCUCUGCAGCAGACUAUUAGUACGGGGAUGCCUUCAACGGCUGCUCCCACUACCUUUUCAUUUUCGCUGUCUACUGUACAUCCUAUUUUUGUUCCGCCGCUGCCACAAACCACUAUUCCCACCCACUCCGCCACUUUACCUCAGAGCACCACGAUGGAUCCCCUGGUUGCCACCUUAAUUCAAGCUGUUGUCGGGCUAGUUCAGACUCAGCAACAGAAUUUGCAUCAGAAUCCCGUUCCUAGUGACGCUGAGUCGAAUUCCAGAGUUCGAGAGAGGAGCAUCAAUGAGUUUAAGAAAUCUGCACCGCCCCCUUUUUCAGGCACUACAAAUUCGGAUGAAGCGAAAAAUUGGAUCAAAGAGAUGGAGAAGGCAUUUUCAGCCAUGCAAUGCACCGAUGAGGAGAAAGUCAGAUUCGGGACAUUCAUACUUCAAGGCAGAGCAAAUAAUUGGUGGGAAAGCGAGUUGAGAACUCGCGGAAAUAACUUAGCAGCCCUUUCAUGGAAGGAUUUUCGAUCAUCAUUUAAUGCAAAGUACUUCCCAAGGAGCAAGCUUCGCCAGCUUGAAAGACAAUAUCUGGAUUUGAAGCAGGGUUCGAUGUCUGUGGAGGAGUACGAGGCCGAGUUUGACCGACUGUCCCACUUCGCCCCAAAAUUGGUAAAUGAUAAUGAGUCACGAGCUAAGAGAUUUGAGGAAGGAUUGAAUGGACAUAUUCGCACUGGUCUCGCACCGCUACACCUUGAGGCAUAUGAUGAUGUCGUUUCCAGAGCAAAAUCUUUGGAUUCAGUAUGGAGGCAGACUCGAGAAGAGCGAAAUGCAAAUCAGAAGAAGAGAAAUAGAGAUUCUUUCAGAGAAGGUGAUCGAAAUGCAAAAGAAGUUGACGGAUCUAAUGACUCGGGGAGGUCGCGUAAUACGCCAACUCGUGGUGGACAACCAAAUCGAGAUCAGAAGCUAAAAUGUUCAGUUUGUGGUGGAUGACAUAAAGAUACGGACUGCAGGCACGUCACCGGUGGUUGUUUCUGUCACGCCCCCCCGCCCCGAGGCCCAUACCAAUUUGGUCUGGUUCGGGCGCGGCGAACGGACCGCCGAACAGACAGCACCUCCCCUGUCCGCCCAAGGCUCAACCGACUAGAUUGUGUACAACAAGUUCCCAGGAAAUAACUUGAAUACAUACACAAUUAUACAACAACAACGAGAGCACAUACAGUGCUACACCGUACGAGAGCAAGCAUCACAAGUAAUACAACCAUACAAGUGAGAGAAAGAGAGAUACUUAACUAUUUUAUUACAUCCAUUCAACUCUUUAUACAAUUAUUACAAUUUGCAUUCUUCCAAACCUGUACAUCAUAUACAAUCCUCUCAAACCUCACCCUAUACAUCAAUCUACUCUCAAAAUAGGUACAGGGUGUAACUAAUGCAUAAAGGAAAGUAAACCUCUACUCAUAUCACUAGCGCGCUACGCCCUUGUCGCGAUCCUCACUAGGGGAGCUCAAACUCGGACCUGCAACAUGGUGGAGUGAGAACUACGAAUAGUUCCUAGUGGGUUCGGCCGCCGACUCUGCCGAUCUCCCCACUAGGUCUAAGCAGGCACAGAUAGAUAUGCAGAUAGAAAGGUAUAUGGAACUGAAAGCAUUAGCAGUAAUGAGCAGCUAUGAACUAGGAUCUAUCAAUGCCUCAAUCCAAUAGAAUGCAUGCAUGGAACUCAUAGUAAGAAGGCCAGCUAUCAUACUACUAUGUUCAACAACGAAGUUAUUCAUCCGAUUACCCAAUCUCUCGGCGAACGCAAGGCUCGCUCACAGUCUCACGUGUGUAAGUCUCAUAGGGGAGGAGGCUAGCAAUUCACCUACCCCGAGACCGCCUGCGGACACUACACUGGUCCAAGGGCACCACACUGGCCCCCUCGCGUGCCAACCUCCGGAGUGCACUACCCGUGAGGAGCUACCUCCACAGGUGCAGACAGGCUAAGUGAGCUCGAUCCAAUCUCAUAAACUGGGAACACCCUAACCAACUAAGAUUGGUGUCACGAUAGAAUCAGGUGUUCUUCUGCUCAAUCUCAUAGUGUCUCAACUACACUAAAGUUCUCAAGUUCAAUGUCAACUAGAUGCCACUCAUUCUGGGUUUAUUGUUAACUAGAUGCCACUCGUUCUCAUUACACUAGUUUACAAAAUACUAGGUUCUUAUUCACAUAGACAUAUUUAUCACAUAUAGGGUGAACUAUCUCAUAGUGUUCAACUCAUGCAUACUAGGUUCUCAUUCAUUGUAUCCACAACCUAAACUAUCACUAGCAUGCAAGGAUAUGUACAAUCACAUUUAACACCCUAUAAUGCUAUAUUACAAUAUGUAAUUGAUCGACAAUAGAACUCAGACAUAAAGAGCAGUUCGACUGCUUCGGGAUGGCACUCCCCCACCUCGUGGCGCUGUCGCGACUCUUCGAAUGCGAUUCGCCGACUUUUCGAUGCCUCGUUGGCCUUCCAGGCGGGAACGAAGCUCCGAGGGUCUACUUUGACGAUAACUUCGUACUCACUCGACGGAUCGACGAACCAUCUUCGCCGACGCGUUUAGGGACCUAGCAAUUAGGUUUGCGACCACUCAAAUUAGAUCAAAACCCUAGCUUUGCCAAAAUCCCAAAUCGGAGCCCUAGGUCUAAAUAAUGGAGAAAUCCGCGGUGCGAGCUUCAAAUUCGAGCUCGAACCUUCUCCCUAGCUUCAAUAGGUUCCAUUCGAACCAAUUCUAAGCUAUAAAACCCUAGCUUGCAAAAUCCACCAUGAAAGGGUUUGAGGUUUACCUCAAUACCAAGCUCCCCGCUUGAGGAAGAGAAGAAGAUGAUCUUCUUCUUCUUCUUCUCAGUCUUCUCCUUCAUCUUUCUCUUCUUCCUCUCCUUCUUCUUCCACUCCUUCCUCUUCUCCUUCUUCUUUUCUUUCCUAGGGAGAGAGAGAGAGGGAAAGAGUGUGAGAGAGAGAGAGAGCAAAUGAGAGGGAGAGAGGGGUCCCCCAUCUCUCAUAUAAGCCACUUUGCAAAUAGCCCCCUCAACUUUUUCAUCCUCUGCAGCAGCCCUCACUGGGCAUUUUUGCAGUGAGGGACCGGUCCCAGCUCGGGGAGACCGGUCCCCGAGAGCCUUCCAUCUCGGCAGAGGGGAUUUCGCGUUCGGGAACCGGUCCCUUCCUGAGAGACCAGUCCCCGGGAGACCGGUCCUUGUCCGAGAGACCGGUUCCCGAGAGUUGGGUUUUCGGGACUUAGCCAAAUUUUGGAUAUUCUCGCUGGGCUAACGUUCGGGGACCGGUCCUCCGCUGCCAGGGGCCGGUCUCAUCAAAGACCCCCGCAGCCCAGCCCGAUGGGACCGGUCCCUCCCUGCCAGGGACCGGUCCCCGAGAGCAUUUCUGCUCCAGUGCAGAUUUUGCACUGGUGCUCUCGUGGACCCUUCCUUAAUGCACUUUAUGCAUUAUAAUCACUUUCGGACUUUCCGAAGCUUACACACUCGACAAAUAGUCGAUUCAAUCGAAGUCUAAUCCCCGGAUUUCGAGGAUUCACUUCCCUUACAGUUUCAGAUGUGGGGAUUUGAACCCCGGAUAGCUCAGUGUCCCCUGCUUAGCAUUGAUGCUAGUACUGGAUCUAAGCCUCAAGAGAAAUCUACUACUUCAGCAGGUCGUGAUCAUAUCCCUCCUACCGAUCAGUCCAGAGGUGGAAGACCUCGGACGCAGGGUCAUGUUCAGGCUCUUUCUCAGCAGGAUGUUCAGGCAUCUAAUGCUGUAGUCCCUGGUAUUCUUUCCAUAGCUUCUGUUUUUGCUCGUGCUCUCUUUGAUUCUAGAACUACUUAUUUCUUUACCUCUUUUGCUUUUGUUCGAAAUCAUUUGUUAACCUCCGAGCCCUUUGUUUAUAUUUUUAUGUGUCGGGCGCCUUUCGGGGAUGAGCUUGUGAUUGAUCGCAUUUGUAGGAGUAUUGUCUGAGUAGACAAUAUCUUGAUUUAUGCUAGUAGUUCCGUAAUGCAACCAUUCUGAGCGGGAAGCUACUUAGGAGCUCGAAGAGCAGACGAGAAUGAUGCAUCCUUAGUCCUUCGAGAGCUAAGAUAUGUUAAGUUUAGAGGACUAAACUUCUUUUUAGGAGGGGAGAAUGUAACACCCCGUACUUUUAAACUUCUUUAUUUGACUCAUAUUCUUAUUAAGUUUGGACCUUUUCGUAAAUUCCUAUCUUCGAGGGAUUCGGCGGCAUUUUGUUACUUAAUUAGUAUCUAAUUAAUUAAUUUUCUCCCUAACCCUCACCCGAUCAAUCCCUCUUUUUCCCCUCCCCUACGACUCGCUCUCUCUCUCUUCCUCACCAGUCACCGCAUCCGUACGACCUCUGUCGUUCCGCAAGUGCGCACGCGAUGCCAUCCGAUCGUCGCCGUCAUCCGUAGCCACCUCCGCCGCAAUCCUCUUUGGCCGUUAUUUUUGGUUUACUAUCGACGGCAUCCUGCCGUCAUCUUCACCAUUUUCGAGAAGGUUUUUCUCUUUCCCUUAUUUUAUCUCUAUAUCGAACCUUGUGAUCAUCCAACCUUCUUGUUUAUCGUUAUAUUAUUAUUUUGAAUACUUGCCUCAUGAUGAUCGAAAUUUAAAACUAUCAAAAUCUGAUUUGCUUUGAUCUAAAUAUGUGUUAUUCGAUCUAUCAUUUUAUCUUGUAUUCCUAUCUGAUUUAGUUAUAUAAAUCCUCCAUAUUCUGCAUGCUUCUUGUAAUGCUCCUUACAUGUUCGAUAAAAUGCCUAAGAGAGGGCGAACUUUGUUUUUGUUUCUAAUUCCGAUCCUAUCUUAUUGUAAAUUGCCUAUUAAUAUUUCAAUAUCUGAAAACCCUCUUUUCGAGCAUUAGACCCUUCGUUUAUUAUUUAAAACUUCAUUCAUCUUAUCUUGCUUCUUUGAAUAUUUUAGUUUUUGAAACUCUCAAUUCUCUUGAUUGUUAAUUCAGUUUCUUCGAGUUCAUUAUUCUAAAUCUCUUUCGUGCUCCGUCUUGCCCUUUUGCAUGCAUCUAUCGACCAUGUCACUACCCUGGAACAUCCGAAAUUCAAACUUUUGAUCAGCUUAGUCUAAUAUAUAUAUUUCUUUUAAUUAUUUACUAAAUAGCUAUAAGAAAUCGUACUAUCUCGAUCUUUAAGGUCCCGACCAUUAUCCGUGCCAAUUGAUUGAUAGCUCUUAACUUAAAGCCUCCUUUCGAGUAAACGACCGGCACACCCGAUGUUCUCAGUAAGAAAUUUAGAAAUAUAUCCCAUUGUAUAAAAAUCUAUUUUUGAACUUUAAAAAUUUAGGGGUUAGCCAUAUAUAUGAAAUAAUUUACCUAAAUUGACUUCAAACUGUGAUAUGACAAUAUCUUUUUAGCUAAAAUAAUUCUAUGAAACUCUGAUAAUCUGUCUGGUAAAUUAGUGACUGGAUAAUUUUGAAGUAAUAUGUCUCUGUAUUGCUAUCUAAUUUGGCCAUCGAAACCAUGUAUUUGUUCAAAGCGAGCUCGUCUUUAUUGGCACCUUCGUGUCCUCCCUAAUUUCGCCACCUUAGCUCUGUUCGCGCUACGGUCAUAUCUGUUUCACCUGCACCUCAAUGCUCCGUCGCCUGGCCUCCAUCGGUCCCUAUUUUGUUUACCUCGGCAGUCUUGAUCCUGCCAAUCCUGAAUCAUCAUACACUACGUUACGAUUGUCCGAGAACCGCUAAGAUCUCCCAAUCCUUUAUAGCGAAUAGACGAAAGCAAUUUAAAAAUUCAUAAAUUCAACACAAAUCUAAAUUUUUGAGGUAAAUCAGAUAAAUUCCUCUACAAAAUUUGGCAAACAAUUAACAAACCCAGCUCGUUAGCAAUUAAUUAUUCGUAUCAUCCCUCUUUAUUUGUAUGUAACUCAAUCAUAAUGUGGUGUAUUGUUGAUUAACACCAGGCUGAACCGCUUUGCUGCGGGUGGCUAACCCGAGUAAACGUUAGACUAGCUAUCUACCUUCGCAUCUCUAGCACUCUAUUAUAUUAUACCUAAACAUAUUAAUGUAGAAUAUUUUUUGGACAUCAUAAAUAUCGUUUGAUCUAUCUAUUUAUUCGUUAUCUGUACGUCCACUUUGUUAAUUAUGCAAUUAGUGGACCGAAUUAGGUGUUCUUGUAAACUUUAGUUACUAUAGAUUAAGAAUCAUGAUUAUAAUAACUUCACAUUUCUACUCUCAUCCUACUAUCUUUUGAAUUUAGUGGAAAAUUUGGUAGUCACCUUUUUGCUAGCUUCCGUGCUAUUCGUAACAGCCUUGACAUCUUUGCCAUCGUAGCAGUAUCGCCUCGUUACCAUCGAUUUGGGCGUGAAGAAGAAAAUUUGUCUACACCCGACCCCUAAGACAAUUAAACCGUUGGUCCAAAACCACAAGCCCAUAAAUGCUAACCAUCUAUCACUAGCAUAGGUCUCAAUAAACUGUCGAAUCAGUAUCCCAUCCGAUGUGGGACUCAUCGGGCGUGUGAAAACAUAGGGGUGUACGAUCAACCCACCUGUUCUAGACCCUGACUUCCCGGUCUUCCAAACAGAUCACAGACAAAGACAAACCAUCACCAUUACCAGGCGAUGAAAUUCUAGAGGUGGCUCCUACGGGUUCAAGAGGUGGCUCCCACCAAACCCGUUGGUGUAGCACUUUGUCCCGCAUAGUACUUAGUUCUCACACUUCCGGCUGGUAUUCGGCUCUGAUACCAAUUGCAACGACCCGACCCGCUAGCAACAAUAACUCGUUGGGCCCAAACCAUCGGCCCAAAAUGCUUAAGCCCAGUUAUUAUUACUAGCGUGUAGGUCUCAUAUAAACUGAUCGGAAUCAGUAUUCCAUCCGAUGUGGGACUAUUUCCUCCUCGUCGGGUCCAAACCAGAUCACAGACAGACAGAUCAGGACCAUUACCAGACGAUGUGAGAUUCUAGAGGUGGCUCCUACGGGUUCAAGAGGUGGCUUCCACCAAACACGUUGGUGUAGCACUUUGUCCCACAUAGCACUUAGUUCUCACACUUCCGGCUGGUAUUCGGCUCUGAUACCAAUUAUAAUGAUCCGACCCGCUAGCAACAAUAACUCGUUGGGCCAAACCACAGGCUCAAAAUGCUUAAGCCCAGUUAUUAUUACUAGCGUGUAGGUCUCAUAUAAACUGAUCGGAAUCAGUAUCCCAUCGAUGUGGGACUAUUGGGGGUGUUACACUUUUUAUGUAAUCUUUCUUUCCUCCUAUGAUCAGACAUGAUAAAUAGAAAGAUAUUAGAUAAUAUAUUAAUUAUUAUCUAUUCAUUCUUUUAUCUUUUAUUAUUCUAAUAUUUUCCUUAUCUACUGAGCGUUAAAAGAAUCUCCGUCAACCUCGUGCUUGCAGAAUCGUGAUUGUAGGAGGAGGAAUUCCGAUCGUACCUUGGGGUGAUUUUUUCAGUUAAUCCCAUACAUAAGAACAGGAAUACGCUUUCAGGUAAUGCCUCACAUGCUUCCAAAUAUGUCAAAUCUUUAUUUGAAUAUUUGUAUUUAUCUGUAAGUUCGAUUUUAUUUUUAUCACAAAAUAAGUUAGAUUUUAAUCACGAUCGAAAUUUUAGUGCAGCUUUUUCCUAACACAGGCAGCAUUGUGGGACUCCAAAAGGAAAGGACGGAAUUAGUUGAAUUUGAAAGAUCAAUAUCCGAAACCAUGCAAAGGGAAGGCUCUCGAUUAUUUACAUGGGUUAAACUACUUUCUAUAAAUCGAAUUUCUCUUAAGAUACGCAUUACCGUAUUUACUCGUUUAACUUUUCCGACAAUAUUCAAACUGAAAAUGAGCCAAAUAAAUAUCGAAGCCAGCUUGCUUAUCAAGUUGUCAAGCUCGCAUUGCGCAAACUUUCAAAGUGAAUCAAUUCAUACUCCAGUAAGCUCAGGCGGAAGCUACUUUGAUAAAUUUAAGGCUUGUUAAUGAGGCAAAAUAAAAUGCUACGUAGAGUGGAUUAUAUAUUCAUGAAUUAUUGUAAGCAUUGAUUCUUGGCUAAAUUACAGAAAAUCCCCCUGUAAUAACCCGCUUUUUCACUUUCCCCCCCUGACAUUUAAAAACCUACACUUUGCCCCCCUGUAAAAUAAAAAAUGUUCACAGGGGGGUUACGGUGUGUAAAAUGACCAUUUUGCCCCUCGCCAUUGUCGUCUUCUUCCCCAUCUUCCUCAGCCGCCCCUUCGUUCGGCCGCGAUUUCGACCUCAAUCGGCCGCGAUUUCUCUCCAUUUCUUUCUCCACCUGCUCAUCUUCUCCUCCUGCACCCUCGUCGCCCUCGAUUUCGGCGACAGUAGGAGAAAAUCGAGGUGGGCGACAGUAGGAGAAGGGCAAAAAAGGCGAAGGCGAGGCGGCGGAGGACGGCAAAAAGGAUGUGGGUGAGGGUGAGGCAGUGGAGGACGGCGAGGCGGCUAGGCCGCGAGGCGGCGAGGCGGCGGCGAGGUGGCGAGCCGGAGGGAGUCGAAGCAACAGGGAGAUGGCGGAGGGGUAUUUUCGGCAUAAAAAUAUAUUUUUUAACGGAACCCUGAAGGAAUCCUAACGGUAGGGGGUGAAGUGCACAUUUUUUAUUUUACAAGGGGGCAAAGUGUAGGUUUUUAAAUGUCAGGGAGGGAAAGUGAAAAAACGGGUUAUUACAAGGGAGUUUUCUGUAAUUUAGCCUUGAUUCUUCUAAGAAUGGGUUAUAUUCGUGGAUUAUUGUAAGCAUUGAUGUUUCUAUGCUCUACCGGGUUGCUACUCUACUUGUGGCCUUUGGUAGAUCGACACUUAGGAGGUCCCGGUUUCAUAAGCCAUUCAGAUGGGGGCAGCUGCUCACAGGCAAUUUACGGGGUAAUUAGAUUUUCGUCGAGUCUAACACUCUUUCUUUUUUCUUUUUUUAUAAGAGAAAAAUAUAACAUACUAUCUGCUUCAUGUAUAAGAAUGAUGAAUUAACCAUAAGGGGUGAGGAAGUAUAUCAUAAAAAAAAAAAAAAAAAAAAAAAAAAAAAAACAAAAACAACAACAACAACACACACUACAUUACAAAAAUAGUCGUUUGGGCGUGAUAGAUUCCUUCCACUGGGUCACCAACUGCUCGACCUUAUCCAUUGCCAACAAUGGAUUAGUGUUAACCUUUCGAAAGAUGAGACAGUUCGUUGCGUACCAGAUGACCCACCAGUAAGCCGACUAACCAAUUAAUCUGGAUUGAGAUGCCGGAGCACUGUUUCACUUAUCCCAUACUGAUCUCACGUCGUCCCCCAAAUCAUUUGACUGAACCCCUUCCACAGCCAUCAUGAUCAAAAAUCUACACACCAUGUACUGUGUAAAUAAAUGGUCCACCGUCUCCUCUUCGACCCCGCACAGCACAAAAACUAUAUUUCCCGUCCACCCUCUCUUUUGAAGAUUGGCUAUUGUAGGUGUCCUUUUCUUAAGUAUUAGCCAGAUGAACACUUUCACUUUGAGGAGUAUUUCGAAUCUCCACACCUUAGGUGCACGAACGUCCCUCAUGCCCUCAUCAUUCAGUGCUGAAUAAGUUGAUUUCACAGUGUACCUACUACUAGUACUCCACCGCCAAAUCACACUAUCCGGUCUCUCUUCUCCUGUCAGGCACUCGCUGGUUUUCAAGUUAAGAGUCUAACACUCUUUUAACUUUGAAAAGUUGUUAGCUCUUCAAGCUAAAGCUUGAUUUUAACAGUUUUAUUACUUCCUUCAAUGCCGAGACACCCAAUUUCUUAUAUUCUUUUCCCUUAUAUUGUUUUGUUCCUUAUCUCAAGAAUAAGAAGUUAAUGUUGCUAAUGCUGAGACAAAUAAACACAAUAAACGAGGACGGGCGUUGAUCAUUCGAAAAAGAACUCAAGAAGGCCUCCGGAGAUUACUGUGCAGAAGUGCGAUCAGUCUGAGAAGACGAGCAAUCAAACUCUGAUGGAGGAAUUAUUGCCUGCACUAGUCACAUUCGUACAACCUGUGCAGUGUGCACUACAUAGCUGCCCAUUCAAUGCCAUAUUUAAAUCACGAUCGUUGGUAGUUGUUGAGAUUUUAGAGAGGAUGAAUGAAGGGAUAGUAUGAUGACCUGGUCCACGAAGUGCACGUAACAAUGUAUCUGACCUCUCUUUAGCAGGGAGAACAUACAUUACGGAAACUAGUAAGUCAACACAAAACGAACACAUCAUAAGCUACAUUUCGGAAAAUAAUACAUCACAAAAACUACGAUAUUAUAAAGAAGCCAAUGAUACAUAAAUCCCAACUUCAACAAAUAGUAAAUAAUAAUUUAGUACUUCGUACUUAGGUGAUCUCUCCCUUGCUUUCAUUACAAUAAAAAAUUAAGAGUUGCAGACCCAGAUGAGCCAGCAUCAAGACCCUUUCUUUGCACACAAAUGUGUUCCGUCACUGAAUGCCUUGGCGCUCCACCCUUUCUUUGCUUGCAGAAGAAGAUACUCUGCGGAAUAUGAACAAACUGAACUCAUAAUUUACAAUGCGGCAUCUUGAAAAAUAUCAGGCACGUUAGGCGGCGGCUAAUAUACUCAGCCAUCACCUGCUAAGGACAUGACAAUUCAUUAAGACUACCAUUAGAAAGCAGAGAAAAUAUUUGAUUGCUUCUGUGGAAAGAGUUGAUCGAAUGGUCUCCUGAUGCACCAGAUGUUCGACUUCACCUUACUCUCUUCAGAAGGUUAGGCAUGCAAAACCAAGACCUCGUUUGGUUUCCUCACCAUUGUUUAGUUUCUUUUUUGAAAUACAAAUUCCAUGCAAUGGCGAGAAGGGCUUUAUUUUAAAAAGGGAGGGAGGAUUUUCUUUUUCAAAUACAAGUUUCUAAUGUACUCAAUCUAUAUAACUAGCGGUCUUUGUUUGGUAACAAAAAUAAAAUUCAGCAGUAACCUUUGUUUUUCACUCUUUUAUUUUGGCAUUGAAAAAGAAGAUGCCAUUACGAACACAACCAAUGUUGCGGUGCGUAGCAAGCUUACCAACAAAGACGAAAAGGGAGAAAUUCGUCCACCAAAGCAUCCUAUCACACAGAAAUUGCAUUUGGAAAACAAAAAAAAGGGCAGUGAUACCAAACGAGGCCUAAAGUGGAGUUCCUAUGUGCAAUAGCUGAAUGUUUUCCAUACUGAUGGUAAAUGUGCACCAGCAUCAAGCCAACCUGCAGAAUGAACUUAAUAAACUCUCUCUCAGAUAAGUGUCUUUGAAAAGAACCUGAAGAAGAUCAGCAGGAAAUGUUUAGAGAGUACAUUAUCAUCAAGCAACUCACCAUACUCUUGCUGGUUAGAAUUAUAUGAGUCUUUCUGAUAGGACAGCAGCACCUAUCAGAGCGAAAAGGCACACCAGGGAAAGGAAGUCUGUAAAACCAAGUGAAGACUUGGAAAAGAAGUAAAUUUUGUGAGUGUUGCUGUCACCAUGGAAACCUCUAGCAAUCAUCGCCUGCCAAAGUCACAUUAGGAGACCCAAGCAUUAUGAUUAGAGUAAAUCAUGCAAAGCUAGAGAACAGCUUUUUAAUUUACCAGUAUCUCUAUAGAGUCAUCAUCCAUAUAUAAGUCCAACUAACUAUACCGUAAAUGUGUGACUAAGGAUCACCACCAGCUUAGCUCUUUCCGUAUCCUACUUUCAUCAUGCUAAGUUUAACCAACUACUUAGCACUGUUAAAAGCUUAAUAUCAAACUUGUAAUGUUCUUUUUUUAACACUUCCUAAGGGUUAAAGUUUCUUUACCAUUUUCUUUUAGAUUCUAAUCUCUUCACUGAACUACCUAUGCCUAAAUAAUUUCUUUCUUGAUUCUCCUUCCUGUUAGCCCACUUAGUGAAAGCACUCCUAUGGGCUCCCAGGCUCCAAAAUAGGACAGGCUUACUCCAAUUUAUUCGUAUGUAGCACAUUUUGUUGGUUCCCUUGUCAAUACACAUCAAAGAAUCCCACUCCUAGGCCUAUAUUGGUUUCUGAUGCGAAGUUAAAGCAAGAAAAUGAUGCCUUUAAUCACAAGCUAUGUUGUGCAGACACGGACACUAGAUACAGAUAUGACACAACGUGGAUACAACGAUACAGCAAAUUCUAAGAAUCUUAGGAUAUGAUACUUAGAAGAUAUGGUGAUUUUUAUAUUAUCAUUAUAUAUGAUAAUAUACAUUAAAAAAGUUUAGAAUCUUUGGAUGAUUAGUUAAGGUAAAACAAUAAACUGGUUGACUAGCUUAAAGAUAUAAACAUAGUCGACUUUUGUUCAUCAAAGAACAAAAUUAAUCAGACCAAAUGUAAUCUUUAGAUUUUCUCAACGACGAAUUCAUGCUGCAGGUGUCAUCUAACUGCAAAAUAACUUCCCCUAUCUUGCAAGAAUCCUAAGUCAAUCCGUCAAGUAUCUAUCUAGUAUUUAGCAAUUCUCUAAAAUUUCAAAAAUGUUGGACACUCUUAUGAAGUAUCCGACACAUCGGAGAUGUAUCACAUGAGUAUAAGUAUUUGAUACAUAUCCGAUACGAUACAACAAGUAAAAUGAAGUAUUUGUGCAUCAUCAAUCACAAGUAAGAUACCGACAAUUAAAUGGGCUUAACAAGGAUUCUGCAGAAAUUUUUCCGGGCCACUCUAUUCUGAUGAUUGACUAGGUGCAAAUUACCUUACAAUUAAUAUCUAGGAGCAGAGCUAUAUGAAGACAUGAGAUGGACCAAUUCUCUUUAAGUUUAGUAGCCCUUGGGGGCCAUUUAGUUUGAUGGUCCUGCAAAUACAAUGAAAUUAGAGAUGCAUGUAAUUGAAGAUGCAGUACUUGUAUUUGCAUCUGGCCCAUUUAGUGGGAUAUAGCUGAAAGCAGAAAGUGAUACAACUACAAAUUUUCUGUUUGAUUGCUUGUAGUUAGAAGUUGUAUUUAUAGAUUUUGUCAUUUUAUAUGUGAAAUGGUGAGAUUACCCUAAACAAUAGAAGUUCAUAAUUUUUUAUAUUUUUAAGAGGCGGGUAGUACGAUUACGCUUGUAAAGAAUUAUUCUAUCCAACUGUUGCAUCGUCAACUCUGUCCAGUCUGGUGUAGGUUGAAAUGCAACAAUUGGGCCUUCUUAAGCAGGUCAAACUACACCAUAUAGAUGCAACUACAACAACCAAAAGGAACUUUUGGACUUGUCAGUAGUUGCACUUACAAAACAGACUGAAAUGCAAGCAAUCCCUUAAUAUGGAGAAAGUGGAGGGCUAGAUCCACAUUGUAAGUGAAAGAAUAUGAGUUACAUAAAACUAAAAAAGAGUACACCCAAGUGGUUGUUGCAGUUUCUAUGUUAUGAGAGAUCAUGAGUUCAAUUCCCAAAUCAUUCAUUCUUUUUUUUUUUUCUUUAAUAUUUGAGUGUAGAUUGUUCUUUAAUAAUUGUUGGCUUAUCCUCUCUUUCUCUUUAUAUAUUUCUGAACAUUUUUUUUUCAAAUGAAAAAUUUUAAAAAUGCUCUUUUUAAAAAAAAAAUAAAAAUCUUUUGUGAUGACUGGAACCAUUUAAGGCCUAUUUGGAUGUUAGAACGGGGAGGUGUGGAGGGGUGUGUUGGAGAUUUAUGUUUCAAGAUUACAACUUAGGAGUUUGGUGUUUAGCUAUUUUAUUUUCAUAAUUAUUCAUUAUCUUUGAGGAUAGUACAUUCCAAUGUCUGCCACCACAAACGAACUGGCCCCGCUACAAGCUUUUCUUCGACGAGUGAUCAUUCAUAGUAGAGAUUAAAUCUAUUUAAAUUUUAUUUUGAAAUUAGGAUUAUAGGUUCAUAGCUUCCAGCAGACUCAAGAAUCUGCUAUUAAUUACCCCACACUUUCAGUGUUAAGAAACCCUCGAUUAAGAGACCAAAUUUAAUGCCGAUGAUAGAAAGAGACCAUAGUAUAAAGAUGAACUUGUAUUGAUAUAAUUUUCAAGUACAUGGCUUAAGCAGGCGCAUACGCCCACUGUACAUUAGUGAAAUACUCAGUUUAUGGAUUUGGCGAUCAUUUGGAAUUAGGUUGCUUAGUUUAACUGUUAGUGAUAUAUCCUAAAGCCAAUCGGUGACAUAGGCUUGUGAACAUAUUAAGUAUUUUUCUUAUUUAAUAAAGGGUAAGUUUUAUUCAUAUUUAUUGUUAGCAGUACAAUAUAUUUAUAUGAAUCAUCCAAUGAAUCUUCGUUAAGAAAAUAUAUUCCUAAGAGUUAGGAAUUUGAUAUAUAUAUUUCUUUGUACAAGAUUCUUAAACGCUCCUAGCCAUAGGAAUAUCAUAAGGACGAUGAUAUUUCAGAAUAGNNNNNNNNNNNNNNNNNNNNNNNNNNNNNNNNNNNNNNNNNNNNNNNNNNNNNNNNNNNNNNNNNNNNNNNNNNNNNNNNNNNNNNNNNNNNNNNNNNNNNNNNNNNNNNNNNNNNNNNNNNNNNNNNNNNNNNNNNNNNNNNNNNNNNNNNNNNNNNNNNNNNNNNNNNNNNNNNNNNNNNNNNNNNNNNNNNNNNNNNNNNNNNNNNNNNNNNNNNNNNNNNNNNNNNNNNNNNNNNNNNNNNNNNNNNNNNNNNNNNNNNNNNNNNNNNNNNNNNNNNNNNNNNNNNNNNNNNNNNNNNNNNNNNNNNNNNNNNNNNNNNNNNNAGAUAAUAUUCUAAUUAGAUUAGAUUUAAAUAUGAAUAUUUAAUUAUAAUUUAAUGGAUAAGAUCUAAUUAAAUUAAAGAGAGAAAUAAUGAUAAAAUAUCCAUAAAGGAUGAGCAUAAAUUUACUUUUACUUAUCCUAUAUGGCAACUAAUUG
rnacentral:lncRNA from 1 species